GAAAAACAACAAAGAAAUCCCACAUAUGAAUAAGUGAUGUAUUCCUAGAACACAGACCGCCACCUUUGAGAUCAAUUCAUUAUCCAAGCCACACUCCCCCAGUGGAAUUCCUGCUGUGCAAAAGGAUUUUCAAGGAAAGCUCUCUACAGCCUCAGCAAACUUCAUCAUUUUAGAAAUGAUGCUUGCAUCUCAGUGCUUUGCAAAUGAAAGAAAACAAAGAAAACAGAAAAAAAAAAAAAGUCUCAGACGCCUUGUUUACCUGGUGCAUUAUAGUUAAUUUUGCCCUUUUUCCUGCAUUUUGAGUUGGGCAAUCAGUUUCUUGGGAAGUUUCAUGGGUUUUACAAAAUGUGAAACCAUGUGUUGCUAUUUAUAACUGCCCUGGGUUGUGAAAGCAAAUGAUUUAUCAUAGAGCACAGAGGCUGAUGUAAACUGUUUGCAGAUGAUAGUGUUGGGUAGAGGGAUAGUGGAAAUGUCCUUUCUACUGCAACAUGUAGAUUUUUAGACUUGCAAAAGAUGCAGAGCUUUGUGACAGGACACAGUAAAAGCAUGGAAUGAAAAGAGCUGGGUGUGCAAUGGACACUAUGAGUCACAUCACCUGUUAGCAGUUACAGCACUUGUGUUCAAAAUCUGCACUGUGUCUAUCUCAAUCUACUUAGAAAUGAUAAGUACUUUACCAUUCCCAUAAUGAUGCUCCUAGAUGGGAGCAGAAGACCGGUUUCUCGUUGUCCUUGUGGCAGCAGUAGAUGUUUUGGGAAGGUGCACAAUAACAGGACAUACGUGGAGGGGGAUCCUUUCCCAGGCAGUGAAUCAGAGAAAAAAAAAGCUUGCCAGAGAGGAAUGGAAGAUGAUUUGGAAGCAUGCUAAUGAGCCGGGGGAAAGAUGGAAUUCCCACAUUUUUACUCGUAACUACCUUCACCAGCUGCGAAGUUCAUAACAUCAGACCAUUCAGAGCUUAGCAGGACAGAUAAGAACUCAGAUGAAGUUUCCAUACAUCACCACACAAUGGGGAGGCAAGCUUAGUCAUGAGCAUUCUUCCAGUGUUUUUUCCUUCCUUCCAUACACCGAGAAAAAUAGAUAUUUUCUCUCAAAAUUGCUAAGGAAUGAUUUAUCUAGUAGCUCAUCGUAGUCCUACAGCCUUGAACAUGUGCCUGUCUGCUCCAGUCUCUGCAUAUCGCAAUUACCCGGUGUCUGCUCAUAUUGUCUUAAGUCAAGGGAAGCCUUCAUUGAAGACAGUAAGUGCUCACUGAAGACAUUAACUGCUGCUAUCUGCUUUGGGCACCCAGAUUCCCAAAAGUGAUAUUCCUGUGUGUUGUCUGGGCUUGAGCUGCCUUGAGGAUGCUAUUGAACCUCCAUUGGGCUUUUAUCAGAAAAUAGCUACUUACCCUCUGAACUGCAACACCCCCGAAAGGCAAUGAAGGAACUGCAAAGUGGGAUUGAUGUGUUUGUUGACAGUCAAUAAUGACAACAUUUUGAACUGAGUUUAAUUAUGGCAAUUUUUGUGCAGGAAAGGUGCAGGUUGUGUUCACCAAGUCUAGUGGUUUUAUUUCGACACACUGCAGCACUGAAACAUGCUAAUGUUCCAUUGUCAAGCAGCCGGUAAAAAAAUAAAUAAAAAAAAAAAAGCUGAUAAUUUACA
rnacentral:lncRNA from 1 species